rnacentral:rRNA from 1 species
UACGUAGGGGGCUAGCGUUGUCCGGAAUCAUUGGGCGUAAAGAGCGUGUAGGCGGCUCGGUAAGUCCGCUGUGAAAGUCCAGGGCUCAACCCUGGAAUGCCAGUGGAAACUGUCGAGCUAGAGUCCGGAAGAGGCGAGUGGAAUUCCUGGUGUAGCGGUGAAAUGCGCAGAUAUCAGGAGGAACACCAAUGGCGAAGGCAGCUCGCUGGGACGCGACUAACGCUGAGACGCGAAAGCGUGGGGAGCAAACAGG